AUUGAACGCUGGCGGCAUGCUUUACACAUGCAAGUCGAACGGUAACAGCACUUCGGUGGCCGACGAGUGGCGAACGGGUGAGUAAUACAUCGGAACGUGCCUAGUAGUGGGGGAUAACUACUCGAAAGAGUAGCUAAUACCGCAUGAGAUCUAAGGAUGAAAGCAGGGGACCUUCGGGCCUUGCGCUACUAGAGCGGCUGAUGGCAGAUUAGGUAGUUGGUGGGAUAAAAGCUUACCAAGCCGACGAUCUGUAGCUGGUCUGAGAGGACGACCAGCCACACUGGGACUGAGACACGGCCCAGACUCCUACGGGAGGCAGCAGUGGGGAAUUUUGGACAAUGGGCGCAAGCCUGAUCCAGCAAUGCCGCGUGCAGGAUGAAGGCCUUCGGGUUGUAAACUGCUUUUGUACGGAACGAAAAGCCCUCUUCUAAUACAGGAGGGUCAUGACGGUACCGUAAGAAUAAGCACCGGCUAACUACGU
rnacentral:rRNA from 1 species